CCUACGGGAGGCAGCAGUGGGGGAUAUUGCACAAUGGGGGAAACCCUGAUGCAGCGACGCCGCGUGGGUGAAGAAGCGCCUCGGCGCGUAAAGCCCUGUCAGCAGGGAAGAAAAUGACGGUACCUGAAGAAGACGCCCCGGCUAACUACGUGCCAGCAGCCGCGGUAAUACGGAGGGGGCAAGCGGUAUCCGGAUUUACUGGGUGUAAAGGGGGCGGAGACGGCGAUGCAAGCCAGGAGUGAAAGCCCGGGGCCCAACCCCGGGACUGCUCUUGGAACUGCGUGGCUAGAGUGCAGGAGGGGCAGGCGGAAUUCCUGGUGUAGCGGUGAAAUGCGUAGAGAUCAGGAGGAACACCGGUGGCGAAGGCGGCCUGCUGGACUGCAACUGACGUUGAGGCCCGAAAGCGUGGGGAGCAAACAGGAUUAGAUACCCCGGUAGUU
rnacentral:rRNA from 1 species